rfam:Ornithorhynchus anatinus chromosome 3, whole genome shotgun sequence.
CCCCUCUCAGGUUCGCACCUGGAGAGUUUCCAGAACUCUACGUGCCUUGACUAUGGGAGGGAGAGUCAAGCAGAGGCAUAUCCAUUCCAUUCCUAGCAUGAGCAGUGGCUAGCAAGUGGAAGGCACUUUGCUACAAGU